rnacentral:rRNA from 1 species
UACGUAGGGGGCAAGCGUUGUUCGGAAUUACUGGGCGUAAAGGGCGCGUAGGCGGCAUGGCAAGUCAGGAGUGAAAGGCCUGGGCUCAACCGAGGAACUGCUUUUGAUACUGCCAAGCUAGAGUGCGGAAGGGGCAACUGGAAUUCCCAGUGUAGCGGUGAAAUGCGUAGAUAUUGGGAAGAACACCGGUGGCGAAGGCGGCGACCUGGUCCGUGACUGACGCUGAGGCGCGAAAGCGUGGGGAGCAAACAGG